CGUGCUGCCGCCCUAGCCGCUUUACUUCCUGCCGGGGCGUUUCCUGAGUAACAGUGGCUCGACGAGUCCAAGAGAAGUUAAAGGCCAUUUCGCGGGAAAUUAGACGACUAGAGGAGGCUGCAAGUCAGAGAUAUUUUCUCCUGGAAAUCCAGGCGCGCUUCUUGAAAGACAUUUUCAUGACAAAAAAAGCAAGAAGGGAGACCCACUUCUAGCCCAGAUGGAGUAACAGGGACCGUAUUUACUUUCUUGCAUGAAACAGCUUAAAAAUGGACAAAAUGUAUGAAAGAGCAGCUUGAAAGAUUUGGGGCAACAGGCAGCAAGAGAGUGAUCCCUGCGAGGCAAGAAACAAAUGAGUGAGCCACGGGACCGCUGCAGCUUUCUCUGCCUGGAGAGUGUUUUCAGGCCUCAGCACAGGGACGGGGACAGAGCCUGGUAGACUCCCUGAGUUGAGGAGAUGGCGCUGGGAAUCUAGGGAGAUGAAGGUGGCUAGAGGUCACAGGACAGAGUACGGGAGAGAAGAGAGCUGCACAGAGAGAAUUUCAAAGAUCUGCAGAGGGUCCCCCUUGAUUAUUUAGCUGAAUACUCAUCAGCAUAUAGUCUCUCUGAAAGGAUUAGCAGAAACAGUGUCCCCCAGUGGACUGGGAAUGGUGCCUUUUCUCUCUACCCAGAGUGGAAAACAUCGAGAUUCAUGUGGCAUUUGGUAUGGUACCCAGAAGGUUUUGCCUCCGUAAUGAGACUAAUUAGCUGUAGAUGGAACACCUCUGUGUUUUUGCCUGACACAUCUUAAAGGCAAGAUUCAAAAAGAUCAAAUCAUUGCCAAGUAUCUUAACAUCCUGGGACAAAGCUCAAGAAUACGUACAGGAAUACAAAAAUAUCCAGCACCCUUCAAGGUAAAACACAUAGUUUGUUGUAUCCAAUUAAAAAUUACCAGAUACUGACGAGGAGGGAGGACAAAGGGGUACAGAAGGAAGAGGAACUGACAGAUCCUUGAGUGGGCAGGAAAGGCUGGGCUGGUGUCCUGUGUGCCUUGGAGGAGAGGACAGCUCAUCCCCAGCAGGAGAAAAGACAAGACCUGGGUGGGGCUUGCUUAAUGCGCCACACUGGCUCUUUGUUGGUAAUGAUGGUGAUGUCAACAAUUACAGCCAUGAGAACAGUUAGUAGGCAUUGAAUUCAUUAAUAGAAUGAGUCACACAAAUUGAGCAGUACUUGAUUUUCUUUGAUGAAGUUUUCAACUAGGAUACCAGUGAGUAUCCUGUUGAUGCAGAUUUCUAGGUAUCUCCAGCUAAGAAGGGAAAAUGCCUGCACCUCCAUCUCUCCUCUGAAGCAAUGCUCACUUGGUCUGAAUUGGAGUAAUCAAUUGAUAGAGAUAAUGGAAAGUCCCAUGCCUGUGUAUUCAGUGUGAAAUUAUACUGCCAUUCAAGUUUUUCAGUGUAGCAAUAUUUUCAUAAACAAAACCUUCUGUUCUGUAUCCCCUGUGCCCUGUCAGUACCCCCACCAUCACUCCCACCACGGUUACCUAUGCACCAAAAGAAGCAGUGGCUACCAUUUGCUAAGUGGUGCCAGGCGUGACUGUCUCAACUGCAUAUUCCAGCAGCUCUAGAGUGCAGAUGAUUCCCCUGUUAAUAGUUGUGGGAAAUGAGUCUUACAGAAGUUAGAUUGUUGCCCAAGGUCACAUCUCAGAAGUGUCAGAGCCAGAAUUAAAAUCCACAUCCGUGUGACUCCCAAAUCCUUGUUCUUAAAAAGAAUUGUAUGCUGUACCACCUCCCCUUGUGAAUGAGCAGUUUUCCUGGCAAGAGUGGAUUAUAUGCAUAUUUUCCUCCAAUUCUUAUUCAUUGCAAGGACCAACUUUUUGACAAUAAUAAAGGAACUUAGAAGAAUGAAAAUAAUUCAGUUUCAACAUCCUGUCGCAGCAACUGUUUUCAUUUUUCUCCAUUUCCUUUCGAUCCUUAUCCAUGUGUACAUAUUUUUCAUAGCUGUAGAUGAAAUUUUAUAUUCUGCUUUCAUGGUUAAUGUUAUCCCAGACAUUUUCCUUGUUGCUAUUCAGUCUUUAAUGGAUGCAUAAUAUUCCAGUUUGUUAAUGUGCCAUGAUUUAAUUACCCCAUCCCAGUGAUGAACAAAAUUGCUCCCACUUUUUUAGUUCUAUAAACUAUGCCACAGCAAACCGAUUUUUUCCCCAUCUUUUGUAAUUUAAAAUAUAUUGGGGCAUGGAGGGGAGGUAAUUAGGUUUAUUUAUUUUCUUUAUUUUUAAUGGAGGUACUGGGGAUUGAACCCAGGACCUCAUGCAUGCUAAAGGCACACACUUUAGCACUGAGCACCCCACCCCCCUUUUUAAAAAAGAAUAAAUUCCUAGCAGUGAGAUUUAAUUUUUUUUUGAGGGGGGUAAUUAGGUUUAUUUAUUUAUUUUUAUGGAGGUGGGGAUUGAACCCAGGAUCUUGUGCAUGCUAAGCAUGUGCUCUACCACUGAGCUACACCCUCCCCACUCCCCGAGAUUUUUUUUUUAAAGAAUAAGUUCCCAAGAGUAAAAUUACCAAACAAGAAUUUGAACAUGUUUAUGGUUUUGGUACUUGAAAUUAGAGUGAAAUUAGGAAAGUUUGUACCUUGGAUCAUGGUGGAUACAUUUCAUAGCUGGCACAAACAGAUGAACUAGUUUAAGUGUUGUUUAGGAAGACCAAAACUGAAGACAAAUGGGGAGUGACUGCUCAAGGGUACAGGUUUUCUUUUUGGAGUGAUGAAAUGUUCUGGAAUUAGGUAGUGGUGAUGGUUGCACGGCUUUGUGAAUGUACUAAAAACUGAACUGUGUGUAUACUUGAGAAGGGUGAAUCUUUAUGGUAUGUGAAUUAUAACUCAAUAAAGCUGGUAUAAAAAAUUAAA